GACGAACGCUGGCGGCGUGCUUAACACAUGCAAGUCGAACGGAAAGGCCUCUUUCGGGGGGUACUCGAGUGGCGAACGGGUGAGUAACACGUGAGUAACCUGCCCGUGACUUUGGGAUAACUUCAGGAAACUGGGGCUAAUACCGGAUAGGAGCUCCUGCUGCAUGGUGGGGGUUGGAAAGUUUCGGCGGUUGGGGAUGGACUCGCGGCUUAUCAGCUUGUUGGUGGGGUAGUGGCUUACCAAGGCUUUGACGGGUAGCCGGCCUGAGAGGGUGAACGGCCCAAAUUGGACCGGAGUACGGCCCAGAAUCCUACGGGGGGCAGGAGGGGGGAAAUUUGGACAAUGGGUGGAAGGCUGAUGCAGCAACGCCGGGGGCGGGAUGACGGCCUUCGGGUUGUAAACCGCUUUCGCUCAUGACGGAGCUUUGUGUGUCGGUAGUGGGUAAAGAAGCACCGGCUAACUACGUG
rnacentral:rRNA from 1 species